GGAGUUAGGAAAUGCAGGUUGGUUAAUACCCAACCUGUUUGACAAAGGCCCCAAAGGAAGCCACGGCUAACUCUGUGCCAGCAGCCGCGGUAAUACAGAGGUGGCAAGCGUUGUUCGGUAUUAUUGGGCGUAAAGAGCACGUAGGUGGUUUUGUAAGUCAGAUGUGAAAGCCUUCUGUUCAAAGGAAGAACGGCAUCUGAAACUGCAGAUCUUGAGUGUAGGAGGGGAGAGUGGAACUUCUGGU
rnacentral:rRNA from 1 species